GACGAACGCUGGCGGCGUGCUUAACACAUGCAAGUCGAACGGAAAGGCCCUGCUUUUGUGGGGUGCUCGAGUGGCGAACGGGUGAGUAACACGUGAGUAACCUGCCCUUGACUUUGGGAUAACUUCAGGAAACUGGGGCUAAUACCGGAUAGGAGCUCCUGCUGCAUGGUGGGGGUUGGAAAGUUUCGGCGGUUGGGGAUGGACUCGCGGCUUAUCAGCUUGUUGGUGGGGUAGUGGCUUACCAAGGCUUUGACGGGUAGCCGGCCUGAGAGGGUGACCGGCCACAGUGGGCCUGAGAUACGGCCCAGACUCCUACGGGAGGCAGCAGUGGGGAAUAUUGCACAAUGGGCGGAAGCCUGAUGCAGCAACGCCGCGUGCGGGAUGACGGCCUUCGGGUUGUAAACCGCUUUCGCCUGUGACGAAGCGUGAGUGACGGUAAUGGGUAAAGAAGCACCGGCUAACUACGUG
rnacentral:rRNA from 1 species